AUUUAUUGAAGUAUAGUUCAUUUACAAUGUUGUGUUAACUUCUGCUAUAUAGCAAAGUGAUUCAGUUAUACAUAUAUAUACAUUAUUUUUCAUAUUCUUUUCCAUUAUGGUUUAUCACAGGAUAUUGAAUAUAGUUUGCUGUGCUAUACAGUAGGACCUUGUUGUAUAUCCAUCCUAUAUGUAAUAGUUUGCAUCAGAUUUCAUCUUAGCCAGUGUUGCUACUCACCAAUGAAUGAACGAAUAAGAUGCUCUGACCUAAAGCUCCUUUCCACCAUUAGUUGGUCCCUCUUUUUUUCAUGUUUCUUCAGCAUUUAUUUCAUUCAUAUUUAAUUUAUUCACAUCCUUUGCAGAGAAAUUCCCGUAGUGUAAUAAUCAGAGCUAACAGUGAGUACUUGCCUUAUGCCAGGUACCGUUCCAGGGAAUGUGGAGAAAAAGUUGAUUAAAUAUGGCUGAAAAUUAUUUGUCUUGAAAUAUUAAUUCAAGUUGCUGUUAGCGGACUAAGGGAUUCUUUUUUAAUGCCCAGAUGCUUUCCUCUUGAAAAUUUGAACUUUAGAGUAAAAAGCUUCAGAUCCUUGAGUCAAGCCCUUGUUUGCUUUCCUUUGGAAAAGCUUAAGUCAUGGAAUGGUAUAGGUUCCAAAUACUCUGGAAAUUUUCUGCAGAUCAUGUGAUGUG